UUUCUUCUAGCCUAAUAAAAUAUAUUUUUAUACCAUUGCUUGACAAAGUUGCGUUAUUUAAUAAGUUUUCAAGGAAUCAAUUAUAAUUCAUAGGAAAUGGCGUUUGGAAUCAAAGAGUGGAAUUUCCCUAAGGAUAACCUUUUAAGGAUGUGUUUCCUAAUUUCCGCAAUUGAAUUAUUGCGUUCGCUUUAUUUCUCAUUUAGUUCGGUUACUGUGAUGACAUCGCAUACGAAUUAUUAUACCAUAAUAGCUUUUCUAAGCACUAUAGCGUGGAUUUUGACCGUUGUUCGACUUUUUGUGGGUUUGUGGAUGAGUCGUCCAAAUCUUCUUGUAUUUUGGUUACUUUUUUCUGGCUUUGCCACUGUCACGCAUAUUAUUUUCUUGAUUUGGAAUGUAACGUCUUCUCCCAUUUUCGAUGAGGAUCAUUUUAAGCACUGGGCUAUUUUGUAUUUGGGAAUUCUUUAUGAGUGCACUUGUUUGUACUUAGUAUUUAGAUAUUUCCAGAGGCUGUGUUCCUAUUGUCUUCUGGAAGGCGGCAACUAUGGUUUUAUCUCUGAAGGUGGUAAUGGUAAGCGGGCAUCUAAGCUACUUACUUUAUGGCGACCAUUUCAUCUAGAAACACAGAAGACUGUCACAGAGAUGCUGAAACAGAGACAAUUUCAACAACUUCAAACACAAUUACUGCUGAAAAUAAAACAGAAGAUUAUUAAGCUUAUUUGGAGAAAAUCAAGAAAAAGCACAAAUCUCGUAUGUUCUUUUGAUUAUGGGAAGGCACUCUCUAUGAAUUACAAAAAAAAAAAAUUAAAUACAAACAUUUCUUAUCGGUUGAUUUCAAUUUACCGGCCAAUGGAGAGAGAGAACCAAAUCAUUUUCCUCCUACAAACAAUAAUAAUAAUUGAGUUACACAGUUUUCCAUCUACUUUACGAUGCCUUCGAGGACAAGAGCUAGUCACGUUGCCAACGGGGGACCAGGACCAGGACAAUCCAAUCUCCAGGGCCUGCUGACAAAACAAAUGCCAUAAAUGAGAAGCAGGCAGAUGGUCGCACAAAACUUGUCAUAUCUUUGUCGGCAAAGGCGGGUUGUGUGAUUUUUUUGGGAGUCCUCUAAUAGUGAAGCAAACCAAACCUUUUGGCCCACUGUGCGCUGCCUGGGAAUUUUGGCAAUCAAA